rnacentral:lncRNA from 1 species
UUUUAUUAAGCAAUACCUUUAUUAUUUUUGAAUAUUCUUAACAGACUGGAACAAAACAUUUUUUUUCAAAACAAAAUAUGCAUACUGUACGCAUGUUGCAGGGUUAAGUAUGAUGCAGAGGUUAAAGUCUGUUUGAACAAAAACAAAUGCCCAGGGAAAUUUCAUAGCUAUAAAGUUAAUAACUAAAUUUUGUUCGCUAAGAGGACCUUUUCUAUGGAUUUCCUUCAUCUCUCAGUCACACUGCAAACUUAUCUGAAGUGCACUUCCCAAGUGUAGUUAGAGAAUAGGAAGGAAUGUAAAAUGUUUUUUUUUAAUUAUUUGUUUUGUUUGUUUGUUUUUUUUUUAAAAACAGCCCUUAUUAACUCUUCCUUCCACUGAUUCUACUGUAAACUCAUAAAAGCCUUUUAUAGAAAGCAAAUUCAUAUACACUCAGCAGGUGAAAUGUUCCCACAAAGAAAAAAAAAUACAGAGUGAUCAGACCUCUUUUCCUCAACUACCUAGAGCAUGUUAGAGUGAUAAAGUUUUUGCACAUUAAUAAAAAUGGCUGAACUAUUUAUUUUUUUAAAAAGAAGUUGUUCCUCUGUGAUAAUGCAGAAUUGCAUACACUGUAUACCUGGAAUAAUUUUAAACCAUAUGUUAGGGAAAUACUGGAAUAAAAUUGUAUAUAUUCUGUAUAUUGCAGGUGUUUGAGCAUUUCUAGUGUCUCUUCCACAACAAUAAGGGAGGAAAAGAAGUCCAGAUAUGUGUCCGCAAUCCCUUUGUUCCCUGUAAUUACAAUGGCCAAAAUGUGCUCGUAUAUUACUGCAACAGAACUGAAAUCACAAUGAAAGCCCACCUCCAUUGUCAAAGGAAAAAACUUCCUCACUCCCUGCAUCCUGAUUCUAGAUAGCUGCUCCUGUCCAACUGGACCAGCAAGAAAGGGCUGGGCCACUUGGGGAUGGGAACUGGAGCAAUACAGUUCAUGAUAGUGUUUUUUUUUUAAUUUUUUUCCUUUUAUUUAGUUUUCAACAUAAAAAUGUGUUAACUGUCUGAUUCCACCUAUUAUGGAGAGCACUUGUUUGUUCAGCUAAAAAGGAACUCCUGCCAGGCCCCCUUGGCUCCGCUCUGGUUUGGGUUUGUGCAACAGGGGCUCAGAGGCCCACCAAGUGUGCACACCCGUUCACUGUGGUUACACAGACAGAAGCAAGCGGAUGUUGUUUGCUUAGGGGACGAGAAGAGGGCGAGGGAAAGGAAAGGCCGGGAAGGGUAUUGGUUCUGUGGGUAGAAGGGAGACUUAGGGAUUUUUUUUAUUUUUAUUUUUUGUUGUUUUCUUUUUUUUGUCUUUUUUAUUUUUUAUUCUUUUUUUGUUGUUGUUUUUUGCUAUACCAUGAGGUCAUAGCAAUCAUUCCUCUAAUAGAAACUGACAGGACAUAAAGACAGAACUAUCUGAU